GGUGGGGUGGCCGAGUGGACGAAGGCGACAGUCUUGAAAACUGUUGAACCGGAAACGGUUCCGUGGGUUCGAAUCCCACCCCCACCG
rnacentral:tRNA from 1 species